CGCGGCGCGGGCCGCGGCCGGGGCGGAGGGCGGCCUCGGCGGGGCAGCUCCCCCCCUUCCCCCCCUCCCCACACACAACCGCCCCCGGUAACGGCCGCCGCGCGCCGGGGCCCAGGGCCAGGUCCCCCUUCCAAAAUGCCUUUGCUUGAAAAGCAAGAAAAUGGUGAGCAGGUGUUGAUGAAAAAUGAAAGCUAUUUGCAAAUCUUGAAAAAUAAGGAUCAGAGAAAGAGACUUGUCCAUGAAAUCUGUUCCUUUUUAGACAGCAGUCAGUCUGUCCAAGAAAUUAAUGCUUUGAGGACAGAAAAUAGGAAGCUAAAAAAUGCGAACUCAAGACUGCGAUAUAAAACAAAAGUGAGAUUGAGAGACUUUCUGGCGAGAUAUCCAGCUACUUAA
rnacentral:lncRNA from 1 species